AUGCACUGGCUUCGCUGAUUUCUCCUUUCUGAAGAACUGUAAUGCCAUUAAUUUGGUGUUGCAGGGAAACAGGACUGUUACUUUGAAAAAAUUAGAGUGUUUAAAGCAGGCUAACGCUUGAAUACAUUAGCAUGGAAUAAUGAAAUAGGACGUUUGAUCCUAUUUUGUUGGUUUCUAGGAUUGACGUAAUGAUUAAUAGGGAUAGUUGGGGGCAUUAGUAUUCAAUUGUCAGAGGUGAAAUUCUUGGAUUUAUUGAAGACUAACUACUGCGAAAGCAUUUGCCAAGGAUGUUUUCAUUAAUCAAGAACGAAAGUUAGGGGAUCGAAGACGAUCAGAUACCGUCGUAGUCUUAACCAUAAACUAUGCCGACUAGGGAUCGGAUGAUGUUAAUUUUUUAAUGACUCAUUCGGCGCCUUACG
rnacentral:rRNA from 1 species